rnacentral:rRNA from 1 species
CGACCCCAGGUUGGGCGGGAUGACCCGCUGAGUUUAAG